rnacentral:misc_RNA from 1 species
UCCGGUUUGACACCGGCAGUCUCCCUAGAGUGCCCGGCUUUACUCGCUGGCAACAUAGGACGAGGGUUGCGCUCGUUGCGGGACUUAACCCAACAUCUCACGACACGAGCUGACGACAACCAUGCACCACCUGUAUACCGCCCUUGCGGACCCCAUAUCUCUAUGAGUUUUCGGUAUAUGUCAAGCCUUGGUAAGGUUCUUCGCGUUGCAUCGAAUUAAUCCACAUCAUCCACCGCUUGUGCGGGUCCCCGUCAAUUCCUUUGAGUUUUAACCUUGCGGCCGUACUCCCCAGGCGGAAUGCUUAAAGCGUUAGCGACGGCACCCGGGGACUUUAUAACCCCAGACACCAAGCAUUCAUCGUUUAAGGCUAGGACUAC